rnacentral:rRNA from 1 species
GACGAACGCUGGCGGCGUGCCUAAUACAUGCAAGUCGAGCGAGCUUGCCUAGAUGAAUUUGGUGCUUGCACCAAAUGAAACUAGAUACAAGCGAGCGGCGGACGGGUGAGUAACACGUGGGUAACCUGCCCAAGAGACUGGGAUAACACCUGGAAACAGAUGCUAAUACCGGAUAACAACACUAGACGCAUGUCUAGAGUUUAAAAGAUGGUUCUGCUAUCACUCUUGGAUGGACCUGCGGUGCAUUAGCUAGUUGGUAAGGUAACGGCUUACCAAGGCAAUGAUGCAUAGCCGAGUUGAGAGACUGAUCGGCCACAUUGGGACUGAGACACGGCCCAAACUCCCACGGGAGGCAGCAGUAGGGAAUCUUCCACAAUGGACGCAAGUCUGAUGGAGCAACGUCGCGUGAGUGAAGAAGGGUUUCGGCUCGUAAAGCUCUGUUGGUAGUGAAGAAAGAUAGAGGUAGUAACUGGCCUUUAUUUGACGGUAAUUACUUAGAAAGUCACGGCUAACUACGUGCCAGCAGCCGCGGUAAUACGUAGGUGGCAAGCGUUGUCCGGAUUUAUUGGGCGUAAAGCGAGUGCAGGCGGUUCAAUAAGUCUGAUGUGAAAGCCUUCGGCUCAACCGGAGAAUUGCAUCAGAAACUGUUGAACUUGAGUGCAGAAGAGGAGAGUGGAACUCCAUGUGUAGCGGUGGAAUGCGUAGAUAUAUGGAAGAACACCAGUGGCGAAGGCGGCUCUCUGGUCUGCAACUGACGCUGAGGCUCGAAAGCAUGGGUAGCGAACAGG